AUGUCUGGAGAAUCCGCCACCGCUAUUCACAAGGGUCAAGUUGAUCUCUUAGGCUUCAUAGAUUGGAUUGGUGUUGAAUGCCUCAAUCAAAGCACCACUCUCUCUGUUUCCAGUGCUAUCAAACAGGGUUAUAGAGAAGAUAAAGUUGUUCCUGGUUUCGGAAACUUUGUACAUGCCGCACUGAAUGGAAUAGGCAUCAGGCCUCGUUUUGCGUUGCUAGAAACGAAGCAGGGAGGUGCUGAAAGGGAACAAGGAUUACUUCAGAUACUGUAG